UUUUUAUUGGAUGUUGACCGCACGUGUCGCGCUUCUAUUGGACGUUAAUUUCAUGCACCUAAUUAAUGUUAACCUCCAGUAAAAGCGUGACACAUGAUGGUCAACGUUA
rfam:Glycine soja cultivar W05 scaffold1735_13, whole genome shotgun sequence.